rnacentral:snRNA from 1 species
AGCUUUACGCAGUGGCAGUAUCACAGCCAAUGAAGUGUAUCUGAGGUGCGAUUACUGCUAAUUGAAAAACUGUGUAUGGUGGG